CCUCCUCUUCACUCUGCUCAGUGUGCUCUGGCCACACUGCCCUCUUCACCGCUCCUCUGAUAGCCCACGCUCUCUCCAGAUGCAGGGCCAAACCUUUGGACAUCACUCCCAGAAUCCUGCUGUGGAACCUGGGACUGUGCCUUGGCCCCCAAUCUGUGCAUGUGGGUCUGGCAAAGCCUGGAUCAUGUGCCCUUGCUGGAGGGAGGUCACCAAGUGAGAUCCCAGGGUCCUCAGCUGCUUCCAAAGCAGUGAGCGGGCUCUGCCUCCCAACCAAAACCCAUGGGGUGGUGACUUGCCACUCAUAAGAGGGUGAUUUAUUUGCUAAGCAGCAAAACAAACGAACAAAUAGACAGCAUGCACUUUCUUUUCAAACUUUCACACAUUUAAAUAUACAUGUGGGUGCGAGCUAAUGCAGUACAACUUCCUUAUUACUGAACUGACUCUCCCUUUAAAAAGAAGGUCUCCCAAAGUUUCAAAAGUCUGUCUUUCAGACACUUCUGAUGAAACUGAAAAUGCCACCAGGGAGAAGCAGCUGAAGCUGGAGUGCAAUGGCGCAAUCUCGGCUUACUGCAACCUUUGCCUCCCAGGUUCAAGUGAUUCUCCUGCCUCAGCCUCCUGAGUAGCUGGGAUUACAGUUCAGAGCUGGGUUUUGCACUGUGUGCAGCCUGAACCUUCCAAAGCUGGCCUCAGCAAUGUCUCCCUUCCUGCAUGCUCCUCUGCAAUGUGACCCUGACACUCCUCCAUCAAGAGGUGGGGCCCAACUUCCCUCUUCUUGAAGCUAGGUUCAUCUGUGACUUCUUCAACCCAUAAACUUUGGCAAAAGUGAUAUGCUGUGACUUCUGGGGUUUGGUUGUGAGUGACCAGGCAGCUGCUGCCUUGUUCAGAUAACACUUGUGCUGAGGUCGCUGAGCCACUGUGGAAGACAUCCAAGCUCCAUAAAGACAGGUCAAGUGCACAUGCUCCAGUCAACAGCCCAGCUGAGCCCUCAGCAUACAGCCAACACCAACUGCAAGCUGAGGGUGAAACAACUUGGAUGUCCAUUUGGAUGUCAAGCUGGACUUCAGAUGCCUGUGGUUGCAGCUCUGUCUGCAACUACAUGGAAGACGCCAUGUGAACCACCUAGUAGAGCCCUUCCUAGAAUUGUUGGCCCUCAGACUCUACAUGCAUAUCAAAAUGAAUGUUGUUUGAAGCC
rnacentral:lncRNA from 1 species